rnacentral:misc_RNA from 1 species
GAUGAAGAACGUAGCGAAAUGCGAUAAGUAAUGUGAAUUGCAGAAUUCAGUGAAUCAUCGAAUCUUUGAACGCACAUUGCGCCCUCUGGUAUUCCGGGGGGCAUGCCUGUUCGAGCGUCAUUAUAACCACUCAAGCUCUCGCUUGGUAUUGGGGCUCGCGGUUCCGCGGCCCCUAAAAUCAGUGGCGGUGCCUGUCGGCUCUACGCGUAGUAAUACUCCUCGCGAUUGAGUCCGGUAGGUUUACUUGCCAGCAACCCCCAAUUUUUACAGGUUGACCUCGGAUCAGGUAGGGAUACCCGCUGAACUUAAGCAUAUCAAUAAGCGGAGGA